rnacentral:siRNA from 1 species
UUACCCCCAUUGUUCAGCAUUC